ensembl:lncRNA
UCCUCCCAUGCAGUCCGUCUUUCAGCCACCCAGAGUGCCUGCUGCAUGCCUGACACUACUCUAAGUACUUUAUGUAUGAAUGCAAUUUCUUAUGUAAUCAAAACAGUGACUCUGCGAUGUAGAUACUAGUCUCCUUCCCAUUUUAGAGAAGAAGACCAAGGCAGAGUGGCUAAGUAACUUGUCAAAGAAUAUCCUGCUAUUAAAGAGCUAAAAGAACUUGGUAUUCUUGAACACAUGACAAUGCCCUUUUUGGUUUCUAUGCCUUGCCCCUGAUUAUCUUUUUUUUUUUCCUGGAAUUCCUUCAUUACUCCCCUUUCCCCUUCACACAUACUGUUUCUGGUAAACCUGUACUCUUUCAAGACUCAGGUAAAACAUCGUUAACUCUGGAAAGCCUUCCCCAAUUAUCUCUGCUAAAAUUGGUGAUUUCCUCCUCUGUUCUAAGCAAGUUUUUGUUCAUGUCACUAGCUCAGGUCUGACUAUUUGAGAUUCUAGUUAAUAACCUACGAAUCUCUUUCCUGAGAUUUGAGAACUCUUUGAAAGCAAGAACCUGGCCUUAUUUACUUUAUUUGAGCACUAAUCCUUGUAUAUAGGUUCUCAAAAACAUUUACUUAAUGAAUAGAUUAAAAGGUAAAACAUAAUGAAAAAAUCUCAGAUUUGUGUUUCUUGUGAUUGUUACUGAUAAUCAGUAAAUAAAAGUUAAUUAUGUACUUUCAAUUUCAUGUAUGUAUAACCUGUCAGAAUAUCUACCUUAUUUCUCUGUCUAAUGCUAACAUAGUAGACAUAAGUUUAAUGCAUAAACAUUUAUAUUCUCACAAAUUCUGGAACAUGCUAGAUAAAAUGCAGAGAAAUAUGAUUGACGUUUAAAAAAGUACUAAUUAUAAAUCUCGUUUUUAUCUUUCAGAGCCCAAACCAGUCUGGAUUGUUAUCCCCUGUGAAAGGCGUAGUACCUCUGUAAUCUUAUUUGUUCAAAUGCCCGACGUUGGAGUGUUUGAUGGAAUACGUAUUGUAAUGGAAGGAGGGGCAAACGUGACCAUGGCUUUACACCAUGGUAAUAAAAUAACUGUUGACAAUUUAGCCCCAGACACAGAAUAUAAUUUCUUUGUUUCCAUUAUCAGUGGGACUAAAUUAAGUGAUAUGUAUUAUGUGCCUGCAGUAAAAACAUGUCUGGAAGCACAACUGAAUAUCCAUGAAGGCAAAGUUACAGACUCUUCUAUAGAAAUUCUCUGGAAUCGAGCUGCUGGGAAUUUCCAGCAUUAUGAAAUCACAUGCAUAAACUAUGCUGCUGCUUUCAUGGUAUGUUAUAAAGAGCUCUUGGAGGAAUUAAACUUGAAUCUUUCAUGCUGAAACCAACAUUACUGCAUUCUUACAUUGUAUAGUAGUGAAACUAAAUAAUUGCUAAUUGUGUUCAAUUGUGGAGUUUUUCUUAAACACAUACUUGAUAAUGUAUUCUUUUGGAUUGAUAGGUUCAGAAGGUUGUUCAAGAAACAGCAAUAUUCUCUAACCUGGAUCCUGCCACAGUGUACACCUUUUCAAUUCGGACUGAAAAAGAAGGUUUUAAAGACAUUUCUGCUAACAUAAAAGACAUACAGAUAGGUAAGCCUAUGUAGGCACCUUAGGAGUUUCUUUCAUGUUCAGAUAUUUCCUUGGUCCUUUAAGGGAAGGUUAGUAAGUAGUUCAUUCCUCCCAGGUUUUCUUUAUGGGCAGUGUCUCUUGUAUCUUUUUCUUUUUCCUUAGUAUGAGUUAUCACAACAUCCUUUUAAGUAUGUAUUGUCAGAUGGUAGCAUUGCUAACUGCUUAUUGUCUGGCCAGAGUUUCCAUUUGUGAUGUAAUUACCCCAUUUUCCAUUAGGCAGAUAAUGAAGUGCCACAUUGCCAGUGUAAACAUUUUAUUCCCGAAGGCAGAUGGUGAUCUAUCCCAUGGUAAUCAUAUGAAAUAAAGGAUGACUGGGAAAGAUGCAUGCAAAUGUAUAAGGUGUCGUAUCUAGUAAAGUAAAAUUGUCAAGUAUUCUACUAAACUAUUUUAGUUAUUCUUGACAUUGAUGCAAUGGGUACAUUGAUUUAUAUGUUUAGAACCUGGCCAUGUCUGGUAUUCUUUUACUGUAAUAAGAAAGAAUGAGAUUGAGAGAGAAUAUCUUCACAAUUUGAUUCUUUUCUCAUAUAUGGGAGAAUUUUAAAGAGAAAACAAUAUGCCCAUUAUACACUAUUUAAUUUAACUUUUUUUCCCUCAGGAAAGAAGGGAGGCAUUUCAUAUUCAGAUUGCAAUUAACUUUCCUGCUAAUUAGACUUGGCACUCUUUGGUAUUUAAUUAGGAUGAGUCCUAAAAAUAAUUAAAUAUUUCUGAAAUCAGUGAUUACACAAGACUAAGGUAUGGUCUACUUCCUGCAUAUUAGAGGCCAGGGACAUUUUGAGUUCAAUGCUACUGGGACACAUUUUGUGCCGUUAAAACACACAUGUAUUUUAUUUCAAAGUUUAAAAUAAUUCUGGCUGUUUUAAAACAAUACUUUUAACUUCUCAUAUCUAGCAGGUAGAAUAAAAGGAAGCCAUUAUCCUCAGCAAACUAACACAGGAACAGAAAACCAAACAGCGCAUGUUCUCACUUAUAAGUGGGAGCUGAACAAUAAGCACACAUGGAGACAGGGAGGGGAACAACACACACUAGGGCUGUCACGGAGGCGGGGCAGGGAGAGCAUCAGGAUAAAUACUUAUACUUGUGGGGCUUGAUACCUAGGUGAUGGAUUGAUAGGUGCAGCAAACCACCAUGACACAUGUUUACUUAUGUAACAAUCCUGCACGUCCUGCACGUGUAUCCUGGAACUUAAAAUUAAAUUAAAUCAAAUUACAUUUUAACAAAAAGGAGUGCCUCGGUUAUCCUCAGGGUUUGCAUAGAGUCAAUUCCUGAGAGCAGUUCAGGGCUGGCAGGUGCUUUGUGCUAUAGAAAAUGUUCUCUUACUGUCUGUUUCAAAUGAUAUAGCCCCAAGUGCAGCUGAAUUUAUGAAACAUAGCAGAACCCUAAGUGCAGUAACUGUUAGCUGGCCUUCAGCUAGAAGUCUUCUGGAUGGUUACAUUGUUUCCAUAUCCAGUGAAAGCUUGAUGAAAGAAGAAGUUCUGCCCUCCACUAAGAGGUAUGAAAAUAUUGAAAAGAAAUUAUAUCCAGUUAACAUGGAACACAAAUUAACAUCUUAUAUAUGUUUUUAGAAAGCUCUCUUAAUGGGAUAAUACAAACAGAAAUGAGAAAAUUUUGCAAGAUAAUUUUUGGACUACAAUGUGAUCAGAAUAACUAGGUCUGACAUAUUGUAACAAAUUAUUUCUGAAAAUAAAUAAUGAAUUCAGAAUAUUAUCAUAUGUAUGAUACAUUAUUUUUUACUUAAAAUUUCUCUGUAAGAAGAUAUGAUUUUUGAUUAACCAUUUGUGCCUAAGCAUAGCAAAUUAUUUCCAUGAUAGAUAUUUUAAAAAUGAAACAUACACAAAUUUUUCUGCAGGUGAGAAAAUGGAGUUCUCCAAAUGUGUCCGAGCUAAACGUUUUAAUAUGUCACUUUUCUUUAACCUGUAGCACAUUCACAUUUAAGAGCCUUUCUCCAGGGACUGAAUUUUUAAUUGGUAUUAUGACUAACAAGGGACUGAAAAGAAGCCAUCCUACUGUCCUCAUGGUUAGCACUUGUAAGUUCAUUUUAUAUUUAAUUAACUUUUCAUGGGUAAAAAGAAGAGAGACAUAGUUGUAUUU